AAGAUACAUUGUCGGCUUAGUUUUAUUACUACAACUUUUAUGAUGAGAUAAUUAGUAAUUCGAUUCACAUAUGAAUUUGAGAUAAGACCAGGUGAAUAGAAAUUGGUCCACAAUUGUAUAUAUCUGCGUUAUCAAGCAAAUAUGUGCUUAUGUCUAGUUCUUAUACAAACCUACUUGAAACAUGAGUCAUACUAUAGUUGUGGUGGCUAUUGUUCAGUUGCUUGGAACAUUCGACUGAAGUGUGUAUGUGUGUUUAUAUGUGCGUAAAUGUAGGCUUUUGAGGUUUAUCUGGUGUUUCCUUAAAAGGAAACUCUUUUAUUUUUCAUUUUAAUGGGAUGAAUGGUUGUUUGGUGUUUCAGUCUAGCUGAAAGCAAGUGUUGCAGUCCUUGAUACAGGACUCACUUUGUGCCUGACAGCUUUCUCAUGUGAGAAAUGUGAUUCUUGCUAAAUCUCUUCUAAGCUUCCCAGGCACAAAGCAUAUUACUGUAAACGAAGAGGACAGGAACUUCCUGAGUUAUAAAUACAUAAAAUACAUAGCCAUAUGAAAGGCCCUUGUGGAGGGGCUCCCCUGGUAUGUUGAGCCAAAAAUACUGUCUGGCCUGUUCUUCCCCCUCUUCUUACUGAUGUUGCCUUGGGAAUUGGAAGCUCAAUAAUGACUCAGAGUGGUUUCUGUUUUGUUUCUUUCUCAGGGACAGCCAUAUGUGGUGCCAUGAAUACUAUGCUUCUUAGGAAUGUCUCUCCCAGUCAGGACCAUAUGACUUCAUACCACAGAGUUACAACUGUCAGUCAGGAGCAUUUCCUGUGUUAACCUCUUCUCCUAUUUUGCUUACUAGGAUCGUACACUUUUCCCAUAGAUAGCACGAUAGUAUAUAAUAUCUAUCAGUUUCCAAAUGCUAUCUUGAGCUUUUAAAGUUAGGAAUGAAACACUGGUAUUUGUUAGGAAGAAAUUGACGUUAGUAGACAGAAUAAAAGUAUGCGUCAGCACUUAGUAAGUGACUUAUGAAUGGCUGGGAUUUAUACACAGGAAGGGUUAAUAAUAUGGGACAAAAUAGGCUAGGAACUGAGUCACUAAGAACGUCUUCCUGUUCCUUUAUGUGUGUGUGUGUGUGUGUGUGUUCAUGUGUGAGACUCUCACACUUGCCAAGGGGCAAAUAUUCAUUUAGAAUUGCAAAAAAAAAAAAAAAACACUUUAGCAUUCAGGAAACCAUGGAUUUUAGUAUGUACAGGUUCAGAACUUCCACAUAUAUCGGGCUUAAAUAAAAGUUUAAGACAUGGGUCUGUUUCAUUUUAAGGAAGUAUUUGCUACCAGGACACAAUAAGUUAAUAAACAAAAUACAAUUGAUUUGUAGAACACUAUCUUAAAUUUCAGUGCUAAUUAUCACUACACUGUUGUUUUCUAAUGUCCAGUACAUUGAACAAAGCCAUUUUUAAAUAGUACUAAUUGGGUUCAUAUAUUUCUUGAAGAUGUGUUUAUGAAUGAACACUGCUGUUUAGAGUUGAAACAAGUUUAAUAUUAAGUUGUAUUUCCCUAGGCAUAUGUUGGAUGAGAACAAUGAAAGUAUUUUGAAGGCAUUAGAAAUAUAGUUCCCAUUUCCUUUAAUGUCCUCAUACCUUUUCAUCUAGAUUUCUCUUUAUGCAGAUUUGUUAACAGUCAUUGAACCAUUUUGCUUCAAAGUCACCAGGAAAGCUAGCUAAAAAAUGUAGAUUCUAGAGCAGCAUGAAUCUAAUGAACCAGAAUUCAGUAGUGCGGGCCCCCAAGAAUCUGCAUUAAUAAUCUGCCUAGGUGAUUCUGUACUAUACAGUGCGACAUCCACUGAUGUCUUAGACGGUUUGCAAAAUGGUAGUCCUGCAAGUCAUUUCUAGCUCACAGAUUUGGUUUGUUUGACUUUCAGUGUUGACUUUAAAGUUUUGCAAUCUUUAAGAAUUGGGAGUUCACGUACAAACCAAAUUUCUCGGUUCUCUUGAGUCAUCAGAACAUGUUUACAGUAAUGGCUCCAUGUUUCUUCCUGGGUUGUAGUAAUCCACUCCAUACAAAUGAAAUCUGUGAGGGGGGCAUGUGCUCUAGUGUUUAACACUCUCCCCACCCCCUAACCUGCAUGUCAGCCUAAGUCAGUUAACUGAUACUUAUUUCUCUACAGCUGACCCACAUCAUACAUACUCAGAAUUUUUAUGCAUUCAGGUCUUCAGCUGCAGGAUCCAUAUAUUUCAAAUAGUGAGGAGAAAUGUUUGCAAAGAGGUGAGAUAGGUGGUUGGAAAUAUAAGAGAAGUUAGAGUCCUAGAGAAAUGAGCCUCCGAUGCUGGGCACUGAGCCUCUUGAGGGGGAAAAAGAAGAGUAUUUGGGAAUGAACAGUGUUAGUGAUUGACUGAGUUUGGGGUAGGAACUGGAUGGGAGUCUGAAGAACAGUGCCAUGUCCUGCACAGCUCCAGGGACAGACCUGACUAGGGCAGCAAGAGAAUGAAGACAGAUAACACAGACACACAGGAAAGCCCGGGUAGGUGGUUUGGUCUCUCUGAUGGAAAAACCACAGCAUCCUGGAAGCUCAGUGUGUUUAUUACAUGCAGUUGAAGAGAGAAGAGGGCUUAUUGCACACAGCCGGACAAGGAGGUGGAGUUACUACAUACAGUUAAGCAAGGGGCCAGGGUUUAUGACACACAACUAAAUCAAGGAUGACAAGUUUAGCUAAUCUCAGUGGGAGUAGUCUCUGUAGGGGAGCAGAUUUCAGAUUAUAAAUAUCUGAGGGGAGAAAGCUGUGGUGGACACUUUCUGCUCACACUAUCAAUAUCUAUACAUGGACCACGGUAAGGCUUUGCCAGCCCUCUGGGCCUCACCCCAGGGGUUGGAGAGGCUUUGCCAUUCCCAUAGGUCUGAGGCUGUGGGUUCCUUGGUAUGGCCCAUGGCUGUGUCUGUGUCAACAGCACACACCCUUCAACACUUGGCUCAUGCAAGGCUUUUUCUUCUCCCUACAAACAGGCACGGUAUAAUGUUGGGAGGUGAAGUUGAUGAAAGACACAGGACAGUAGGUGGCUGUGAGACAUCACUGCUCGGUACUGAGAUGUUGCUUGCUGUGGAGGGUGGAUGCUCUUCUGCGUUGGAGAAGUUGAUUCCUGGAUGGAGUAUAUGAGAAUCUCCUGAAGAUAUGUAGGGUUUCUCUGUGUAAUAGCCUUGGCUGUCCUGGAACUCACUUUGUAGACCAGAGUGGCCUCAAACUCACCGAGAUCUGCCUGUUUCUUAAUUGUGUUUCCUUUGGCUUCCUCAGCCCACUGUAUCUUCAACAUGAUUUAUCUGAUGUUUAA